rnacentral:antisense_RNA from 1 species
GUAGGAGCUGCCGAAGGCUGCGAUCUUUUGAUGUUGCCCUUGAAGAUCAACAGUAAAAGAUCGCAGCCUUCGGCAGCUCCUAC